rnacentral:rRNA from 1 species
GAUGAACGCUGGCGGCGUGCUUAACACAUGCAAGUCGAACGAAGCAUUUGCGACAGAUUUUUUCGGAAUGAAGUUGCUUAUGACUGAGUGGCGGACGGGUGAGUAACGCGUGGGUAACCUGCCUUGUACUGGGGGAUAGCAGCUGGAAACGGCUGGUAAUACCGCAUAAGCGCACAAUGUUGCAUGACAUGGUGUGAAAAACUCCGGUGGUAUACGAGGGACCCGCGUCUGAUUAGCUAGUUGGUGAGAUAACAGCCCACCAAGGCGACGAUCAGUAGCCGAGAUGAGAGGGUGACCGGCCACACUGGGACUGAGACACGGCCGAGACUCCUACGGGAGGCAGCAGUGGGGAAUAUUGCACAAUGGAGGAAACGCUGAUGCAGCGACGAUGCGUGAGUGAAGAAGUAAUUCGUUAUGUAAAGCUCUAGUAGCAGGGAAGAUAGUGACGGUACCUGACUAAGAAGCCCCGGCUAACUACGUG